rnacentral:rRNA from 1 species
GCGGCGUGGAUAGGCAUGCAAGUCGAACGAGAACCGUAGCAAUACGGGGAAAGUGGCGUAAGGGGCAGUAAUGCAUGGGUAACCUACCCUGGGGAUGGCGAUAGCCGGCAGCAAUGCCGGGUAAUAGCCAGCGAUCCGUCGGAAAGGCAUCUUUCUGCCGGGAAAUGAAUUUCGCCUCGGGAGGGGCCCAUGUCGUAUUAGCUUGUUGGCGGGGUAACGGCCCACCAAGGCAAAGAUGCGUAGCGGGUGUGAGAGCACGACCCGCGCCACUGGCACUGAGACACUGGCCAGACACCUACGGGUGGCUGCAGUCGAGGAUCUUCGGCAAUGUGCGCAAGCAUGACCGAGCGACGCCGCGUGUGCGACGAAGGCCUUCGGGUUGUAAAGCACUGUCGAGGGGGAGAAAAGCCGUAAAAUCGGCCUGAUCUAUCCCUGGAGGAAGCACGGGCUAAGUUCGUGCCAGCAGCCGCGGUAAGACGAACCGUGCGAACGUUGUUCGGAAUCACUGGGCUUAAAGGGCGCG